CUGAUAGCCUUCAAACGUUGUGAGUGGUGACAUUAUCUUGACUACCCUUUUACCCUUUUUACCAUUUCCCCUCCACUGGAACUUUGAACAGGAAGAAAGUCGACAAUUCAACCAUUAACGCUGGCUGCGAUUAUCUUUAAACGCUUAUUCCCUCCCAAAACCCGGAGGCACUCUUCCUUUGCUUUCUUCAAUCUCUCUACCUCCGGGAUUCUUCCACGCCGUACCAUGGGUCUGAACGUCUUCAAAUUAUGCUCAGGCCUCAAAUUCCUUGGCUACUUAAUGAUCCUUCUCGUCGCCGCUAUUAUCGUGGUUUCCUACUAUGUUGUUAUAGUCCUCACUUGGGGUCCGCAGCUCUCCCUCGGUGGUUUCAGAUCUUUCUUGUCUUUCACCAUCAUCCUCUUGUUUCACAUCCUGCUUGUGUUGUUAACAUGGAGUUAUAUGAUGGUAGUUUCCCAGGACCCGGGCUCCGUUCCUGAAAACUGGAAACCAGUAGCAUCAGAGGAAAAUCUAGAAUCUGGGGGGUCAGAUCAUAUAGUACCUGAUACUUCAGCAUCAUCAACGCCUUUGGAUGUGCCUGAAACCAGACAAGCACAAGCUUCAGGCUACUGCCGUUACUGUCGAAAUGGGAAGCCACCACGUUGCCAUCAUUGUUCUGUUUGUCAAAGAUGUGUGUUAAAGAUGGACCACCAUUGUGUAUGGGUGGUGAAUUGUGUUGGGGCACACAACUAUAAAUUUUUUCUCUUGUUCCUGCUGUAUACAUUUCUGGAGACGACUAUGGAUACCAUAGUUUUGUUGCCGAAUUUUAUGAAAUUCUUCAAAGAUGCCAAAGAUCACUCAAACUCACCAAGCGAUCUUGCUCUUACUUUUUUGACUUUUGUUUUAAACUUAGCUUUCGCACUGAGCCUUCUCUGUUUCAUAAUAAUUCAUGCAUCUCUUCUUUCAAGCAAUACCACUUCGGUUGAGGUGUAUGAGAAGAAAGGAGGAGUGAGGUGGAAAUAUGACUUGGGACGGAAGAAAAACUUUGAGCAGGUAAAAAGUUAGAUUUAACGGCAGGAGGACCUUUCAUGUAAUUUUGCAAACCACAGGAGCAGUGGCGUGACGUUUUCCUUGAAAGUCUUCAAAGUUUUUGGCACAACAAAGGCACUUUGGCUGUUCCCUCUACUUGCCAAGGAAGAUCGGGAGAAACUUGAUGGCCUCAAUUUUCCAACAUCCCAAUCAUGACGAUGACGCCACUUUAUUUAUUUUUACUUUCUUAAAAAGAAAAAAAGAAAAAGAAAAAAAAAAAAACCCUUAACAAGUAAGUAGAGUUAUCAUGUUAUUACAUAUGAUCUUUGCAAGAUAGUCGGUUAUGGUUGCUUGUUUUCAAUUCGUACUUGUGUUGUAUAAUUUGGCUAGUUUAUGGAGGACGGAGGAGAUACAGAAAUAUCAUGAAUGUAAAGUUGCUUUCUCCAUCA